rfam:Schistosoma rodhaini strain Burundi genome assembly, scaffold: SROB_scaffold0005474
CUGCCACUGAGGAGUCCAACAAUAGGACGAAACAGCCGUCAAGCAG